rnacentral:tRNA from 1 species
GGUUAAAUUMCUCUUCUUAUCG